rnacentral:rRNA from 1 species
GACGAACCGUGCGAACGUUGUUCGGAAUCACUGGGCUUAAAGGGCGCGUAGGCGGCCUGCCAAGUCAGGGGUGAAAGCCCCCAGCUCAACUGGGGAAGUGCCUUUGAUACUGAGGAUCUUGAGUCCGGGAGAGGUGAGUGGAACUGCGAGUGUAGAGGUGAAAUUCGUAGAUAUUCGCAAGAACACCAGUGGCGAAGGCGGCUCACUGGCCCGGUACUGACGCUGAGGCACGAAAGCGUGGGGAGCAAACAGG